CACGUAGGGUGCGAGCGUUGUCCGGAAUUAUUGGGCGUAAAGAGCUCGUAGGCGGUGUGUCGCGUCGGCCGUGAAAACCUGCAGCUUAACUGUGGGCUUGCGGUCGAUACGGGCAAACUAGAGUAUUGCAGGGGAGACUGGAAUUCCUGGUGUAGCGGUGAAAUGCGCAGAUAUCAGGAAGAACACCGGUGGCGAAGGCGGGUCUCUGGGCAAUAACUGACGCUGAGGAGCGAAAGCGUGGGGAGCGAACAGG
rnacentral:rRNA from 1 species